CCUACGGGAGGCAGCAGUGAGGAAUAUUGGUCAAUGGGCGGGAGCCUGAACCAGCCAAGCCGCGUGAGGGAAGAAGGUCCAGCGUAUCGUAAACCUCUUUUGUCAGGGAACAAAGGCGGGGACUAGUCCCCGGAUGAGGGUACCUUAAGAAAAAGCAUCGGCUAACUCCGUGCCAGCAGCCGCGGUAAUACGGAGGAUGCGAGCGUUAUCCGGAUUUAUUGGGUUUAAAGGGUGCGCAGGCGGCCUGUUAAGUCAGCGGGAAAAGCCCGGGGCUCAACCCCGGCGAGCCGUUGAAACUGGCGGGCUGGAGUGGGAGAGAGGUAGGCGGAAUGCGCGGUGUAGCGGUGAAAUGCUUGGAUAUCGCGAAGAACCCCGAUUGCGAAGGCAGCGUACCGGCUCCACACUGACGCUGAGGCACGAAAGCGUGGGUAUCGAACAGGAUUAGAUACCCGGGUAGUC
rnacentral:rRNA from 1 species